rnacentral:rRNA from 1 species
UACGGAGGAUCCAAGCGUUAUCCGGAAUCAUUGGGUUUAAAGGGUCCGUAGGCGGUUUUGUAAGUCAGUGGUGAAAGCCCAUCGCUCAACGGUGGAACGGCCAUUGAUACUGCAAGACUUGAAUUAUUAGGAAGUAACUGGAAUAUGUAGUGUAGCGGUGAAAUGCUUAGAGAUUACAUGGAAUACCAAUUGCGAAGGCAGGUUACUACUAGUGGAUUGACGCUGAUGGACGAAAGCGUGGGGAGCGAACAGG